AUCAAUUUUGAUCAUUUGGCAUUGUUCUAAAACCAAACAAAAGGGUGAUAUGAACAGUAGAGUCAGAAGAUGAAUGUAGGCAUUAGCUCUUUUUACCACCGUUAAGCACUCUUUGAAGUUGAAAAGCUUCUCCCUGAUCUCCACUCAAUGAUCGUCUCUCGAAGCAAGACGCAGUGAGCUGUCUUAGUAACCUCUCGAGAUUAGAGUGUAAGCAAUUUUUCGUUUCUUUCAGGUUGGGAUUUGUAGACAAUAUCAUUGCAUUUACCGAGUCUGCUACAACUUCACGCCGCGAGUCUUUUAGGAGAUAACCUACGGCAGAUUCUAAUGGUUGUUCGUAGGCCAGUAAAGCAACGCACUCCUAGUAGAAUAAAGAAUCUCAAGUUAAAUGUACUAUCGUGCAAUUAUUAGACAAACAGGAAACAUAGACAUGCAAAACAAAAACUAUGAUAUAACCUUGGACAAUCCUAACUCGCAUUGUAAUGAAGUGAGAUGAAAUUGCACAUGUUUAUCGAAUGGGAUAUAAGAUUAGAAUGAUUAUAAUAUCGGUAGUGAGUUGAUUAUAGUACUAAUUAUUGGUAAGAAAAAAACACCUGAACUAACUCCUCAAAGACUAUGAUAUAACCUUGGACAAUCCUAACUCGCAUUGUAAUGAAGUGAGAUGAAAUUGCACAUGUUUAUCGAAUGGGAUAUAAGAUUAGAAUGAUUAUAAUAUCGGUAGUGAGUUGAUUAUAGUACUAAUUAUUGGUAAGAAAAAAACACCUGAACUAACUCCUCAAAGACUGGCGACCCAAAAAACCGUGACAAUUCUAUUCUUCCAUAUGUGACAGCCUCCUUCAGUUCUCCAACCUAAAUAUCACAUUCAAUAAUAUCAAGGUCUUAAAGUUAUACAAUUUAUAUAUAAAGCUAUACGACUAUGACAAAUUUAAAUUUUAUGAUUAAAUUUUAUGAGUAACUAACAAAACAAAAAAUAAACAAUAUCAAUCAAGCUAAGAAAUGUUAAAGAAACAGAAGUCUAAUUGCAGAUAUACAAAUUCUGUACAAGAAUAAAGGACAGGAUUCCAAUAGUUCCAAAAACUAAAUAUAAAAAAGUAUAUAAAAAAGUAAUAUACCCGAACUAGUUCAAUGAAUUUUUGGCAAUGAAGCAGAAAACACAUAGCUGAUGUAUUGUCCUGCAGUAACCAGAAUUGAUUGUUAUGACACAUGGUAAAUAAAGAGAGAUGAAGGAGAAAUGUCAAAUCAAAUAUUUUGUAUAUAAUUUGAUCUAUGAUAUUUGGAUCUUUUACAUAAAAGGGAAAAAAAUUGAGAUAUAAUUAGAGGAUAACAUGAAGAUCUUAUUCAACAAAGCACCAUAUAUUGCAGGUGAUCAUUUCUUAAACUCCAUAAAAGCACCAUCAGAGGAUAACAAAGCACAACAUAACUUCCAUUAUAUUAUGGUUCCAACUAUAAAACAGAACAUCACAAUUAACAAUCACUACAAAGAUUCCUUCAAUUAGGAUUUUUCUGGAAGCAAAUUCUAGUACAAAUUAUAGAUGGCAUAAUACCCCGUGGUGGAUUUAAUUGCAAUUAUAAUAAUCAGUAUAAUCGGAGUCAUAUUAGAGCCAGGAUACAAACAACUUUGUAGACAACCAUUAAAAUCUAAGAACCCACCUCAGUAAUCUGGGGAUACCAUUCACGCAAUUUACCAAAUGCAACAUCAAUCUCCCCAUCCCUGAUUAGCUUCAUUGAAACAAAAGAGGUAAUCCAUGUAAGUUCGUAAAUCAGCAACUGUAUGCAGCAAGCAUAUCAGACCAACUACUCCCUCUGGUCCUAUAUAUAAGAAAAAGUUUACAUUUUAGAUUCAUUGUAAAGUUGAUGUAUCUAGACAACAUUAUAGUCUAGAUACAUCAACUUUACAAUGAAUCUAGAAAAUAAACUUUCUCAGUUCUCUUAUAUAUAGGACCGGAGGGAGAAUAAAACAAAGGACAGCAAUGAUAAAAUGCCUAUCAAUAACAAAACAGGCACUACUUGAUAGGAUACAGACACUAUAACUUGACGGUUCUAACAAACCAAGUAAUGACACUUCUUUAUCAAGAUAUUGGGGACUCCCCUUGUAAGAGGACUCAUUUAGGUUGUAAUUUAAAACUUUUAAAUAUAAAACACAUAAAAGGUAUUGUAAUCUGCUGCAUAACCUUUCCCUAGCCAGCCAACAUCAAACUCAUAAUUAGUAUCACCACAGGAAUCUUGACCAGUGCCAGCAACAAUGAUUACAAGCAAAAAUGGUUGUUGGAGCAUGAUGAUGGAAAUAUUUUGAAAGUAAUCAACAAAAUUAUACGAAGAAAAAAAAUGAAAUAUUGUUUUUAAUUUUUAUACUUGGUGCUAGAAAUUGUUAACCUUAGGGUCUAAACUAAGAAUCAAACACAAUAAAAUUCUUCAUUUUUCAGCUCCAUGUCACUGGAUCAGAACAUUCCCAUUCAACAUGUAUAUACCAGGAAAAGGCUCAAUUUGAGUAAUUCCUACUACCAUUCCCUUGUUUCCUAUCCUAAUUAUGAGUAAUUCUUACUUGGGCACAACCCCAAAUAUAAUACAUUUAGGCACACACACAAAAAAAAGACAAAAAUAGAAGUUAAAUAAUUUAGUCACAUCAUCUUAUAUUAAUUAAUUAUUUUAACUUCAAAUUUUUUGAAAUCAUGUAUGUGUGCCUAACACGUCAUAUUUGGUGUCGUGCCUAAGCAAGUCUUUCUCCCUAAUUAUAGAUAGAUACCCAAAAGCUGUGAAAAAAACAAGUACCUGCCGUAGAGUCUUCCUGUGAUUCAAUGCAUACGUUGUUUCCUGGUCANNNNNNNNNNNNNNNNNNNNNNNNNNNNNNNNNNNNNNNNNNNNNNNNGUGAUUCAAUGCAUAUGUUGUUUCCUGGUCAUCAAUACCAUUUUCUUGCACUAUAUUUAUAGGAGGAACUGUACUCUUACUAGCCACAUCAAAUGCAUUCAAUGUAUCUUCAUAGCCAUAGUGUAGCAGGUAGGAACGGACAAUUCUGGCAACAAGCAAUGUUAAUUCAGAAAUAUUAAUACAUAUUAAUUACUUUGUUAUAUUAGUAUUAAUUCCCAAAAAAGUCAUGAAUAUCACACAGCCAAGGUGAAAUAGGUUAAUUUCAAACCUUCAUAAAGCACAAAAAGUGACAGCAUGCAACAUUGGAGUCCUCCUCCCUAGCCUAAGAGAAAGGCUUCUUAUAAAUUACUAUAUACUAAGUUUUUGCGUCUGCAUUGAAUAUUUGAAUUUAUGUCAUGGUCUGUGUUCGGAGAAUAAAAGCAGUCUGAGUCAUGUAACAUUUUAAAUCAUUUUAGAUUUUGUGAUUCAUCUUUCUUUUAGUUAUGUUUGUCAGCUAAAUUUCUAUUAACAUAGGAUCUGAUUCUAGACCAUACGAUAAAAAGUACUCAAUCUGAGAGAUACUGCUACUCCACUGUCUAUUCUCCCGCUUUCAACAUUUCAACACUAAUGAUCACUGUUUGGAACUGAAAUAUAAAGCCAUAAAGCAAACACAAACACUUCAAAAUAAUAGUCAUAUUCAUUUCAAACAUGUAUUCAUGUCAGACACUUCACAAAUACUCCCCCAUUGUACUUUAACUCGAUUUCACUUGGCACUAUCAAACUACGAAGAUCACUGAGCUUCUACGAACCACAUAUUACACUUUCAGAUAUUCACUUGUUAUAUUUAGAACGUUGUUAUUUGACUAAUGAAAUUACUAUAAGCACCCAACAGCCAUAUGAACAUUGAAAAGCUGUGCACAAUAAAACAGAAAUAUGCACUAAAUUUUAAACAAAAAGAGCCUUAAGAACUCAUAGUAAGCUUAUAUUAAGAUUAAAAACAACUGAAACUGAAUACUAACAAAACUAAUCUAUAUAAAAUGUUAUAAAAAAACGAGGUUUAAUAACAAAAUUGUUAGGUGUAAUGUUCUCUCACCCAUAACUGGCAUUUGGUGCCACAGGUAUUUCCUCUAUUUUCACUUGCUGCUUCAUUCUUUCUUGAGCUUCAAAUUCCUAAUUCAACAAGAUAAAUAAUUAAGAGAAACAGAGAUAAAGACUUAAAGAGAAGUAUAUUGCAGUAUUGCACAGUCUUUAUAAACUUUGUGAAUUUUAAAACAAAAAGGUUAUGUGACAUUGAUCAUAGUGGAAGUAGAAAAUCACAUAGAAAUUAUUGAAUCUCUCAUCCCACCCUAGUAUUAUCUUAAUCUUAGAUUCAAUUACUGGAUUGGAAAUAAAUUUAAAGGUUUGACCUCUUCAUUAAAUACGAAGUUACAAAUUUUCCCUGUUAUUUCAUUAGCAAGUAGGGUAGCAUGCUGUAAGAUAAGAUAUAUACACAAGGAUAGACAAAAUAUAGAAAAAGGUUCUUACCUUUAGGUCAAAGGUAAAUGGUUUCUGCCCGAAGUUGACAUGUACCCUGUUAGAGAUAAAUGAAACACACUCCUGAAAGAUUAAACACCUCAACUAAUAAUCAAAAAAGCUGCUAAUUGAAAUUAAACAGAAGUACUGUUCGAAAAACCUUUCAAAUGGUAGCAACGGAAAAAUAAGCAUGUAUUAAGAAGUGCAUGCAGAUUAUCAAAAUGCCCGGUCUAAAAAUAAUUAAAUAAAACUGCUAAGGUUGGGAGUCAAAUCUAGGAGUGUUUGGAUUAUGUAAUUGUAAAUUUUAGAGAAUUUAGAAUUCUAGGCAAUUCAAAUGCUUCAAUUGAAUUCCUUUUAUCUCUAAAUUUUUUUGUUUAGAUAGAUUAAUAAAAUUCUUUAUUGUCAACUUUUUGGGAUAUUUUUAUAAAUUUGAAAAGUUUUAGGUCAAAUUUUUAAUUUGAAAAAUACAGACCAAGCUGCAAUUUUUGAAAAUUUAAAUGGACUAUUUGAAAUAUUGAAUAAAAUAUGGGGACCAUCUUGCAAAACUUGAAAGGAUAAUAAGAACCACUUUGACAUUCACAUUGUAUAGAUUAAUGAAAUUCAAAUGGGCUAUUUCAUUAAAUGGACUAUUUCCUAGUUUAUAUGUGUCAUUUGAAAUUCUCUAAAUUUAUCUUGAAUAAAAUACUUCAUAAAUUCCCAUCAUUUUAAAAAUUCUUCAAAUUUACUAUACAAACAAUUAAAUUUACAUAGAAGAAUUUGAAUCCCUUCAAAAUUUACAUUACCUAAAAACAUUUCCUCAUCCAAACACACUCUAGAAGAGUCAUUCUCAGAUAAAUUAAACAUCAGAAGAAAUUACACUCCCCUCCUUAAAUUUUUCACAUACCAUGAAGACCUUUAUUGACACACUUGUUCAGCUUUAUGAGAUGAGAAAAGAAAAUGAUGAUUCAUUUUGGUGUUUGGAAGUUAAACUACAUGCACAGUCUGUGUGAAAAUUGAAUAACAAGGUUCUACCUUUAUUAACAAAAAAAAAAUGAAUGCAAUUGACUAAUAAAAUCUGAUAGAUUGCUUUACAAUAUACACUGAACAUAGAUAUCUAACUAUAAAUUUGUAAAAUAAAUAAAUAACUCAAAUAAAUAAGCAUGCAGCCAGUCCAAUAGACAAAAAAACAAUACAGCAGUACAACAUACUCUUCAUUCUGGCUAUGAACAGCAACGGUUGGAUAAAGGGGACCCUGCAUGUCUUUGUAAACUGAGCCAACAACUUGCCCAUUUUUACUGGCAUCAAACAAAAGAAGUAAAAAUGAUAUUGUCAUCAAAACAAAUGGGAAGAAUUGUGUAUACAAGCAAAAAAGAUCAAUCAAUCGUAGAAUAAAGUCGAUAGUGCUUGUUAACAUGCAAAAUUAAGGCAUUGCUAACAUGCAGCCACAUGAAAAACUAAGGGCAAGUUACUUUUGUGAAAACAUUGAUAAUCCUUGUUUCUUGUUUUCCCUUUUACUUAUAAAUAAAUAAAAAUAUCGACCUGUUUUGAUUUUAUUUUUUUCUCAAAUCCUCAUUUACAUUUCAUUUUCUGUUCACAAAUUAUGUGCAUGAAACAGCGAAAACAGACAAGAAAUGGAAACAAUAGGACAGUUUUUCAAUUAAAAUUGACAACAUAAUGAAAAUUUCAAAGAGGGAACAAACAAAUUAUCCUCAAGCUACAUACAGACCCUAACGGUUCUGAAAAGGAUUCAAGGGAAAAAGAAAAGGAACAAGUAGAUUACGUGAAAAAAAAUUCCUGAGAAGCAUAGUUAAUUCCAGCACCAACUAUAUCACCAGUGGUAUAGGUUGGACCAAAAGCUUCUCCUUUGCCAUGUCCACGAUAAAGCAAACCAUCAUCCCCAUGAUAUCCACAGCUAUUAGCCUCCCACCUAUCAUCAAAACACAACAACAAUUACAAUAACGUAUUUAAAAACAAUCUAAUCACAUAAACAAUGUUACGGAAAACAUAGUGAAAAUAAGCAGGCAAUCUAAUCAGAGUCAUAUGUCUAUGCAUGUGGUUCAUAGAUAACAAAAAUAGCAAUAAGUACAUUAAAAACAUAUCCUCGUCCUGAUUUAAAAAAGAAAUCCUCAUCCAAUUAAUCCACACAAUGUUAUUGUAAACAGGGCUACAACACGAGCUAAACUUCCAAUUGAAAGAGAAACCAAGAAAUGAAAAUAGAAGACCUUUUCUCAAAUCAUGUAGACAACAACAAUAAUAACAUUUGUCGCACCAACACUUUAAAUUGAAGGUGUCUCCAAUGUUCGACCCAUAUCAGUAUACGAUACCAACACAUGUGGAUACAUUCAAUCACUUCUAUUUUCUGAAAUUAUUAUCAGAGUAAUUUAUCUACACCCGUGGUUCACAGACACCAACAAUAACACUAAGUACAUUAAAAAACACAUCCUCAUCCAAUUGAUCCACACAAAGAAUAUUAUUGUAAACAAGGCUAAAACACAAGCCAAACGUCCAAUUGAAAGAGAAAACAUGAAAUAAAAACAGAAAGCAUUCUCUCAAACCCUAUGAAGCACAAACACUCUUCAAAUUAACCGCGUCCCAACAUCAGACAAAUGUAGGAGUAUGACACUAACACAUAUGAUUACACUAAAUUAUGUACUUUUCUAAAAUAAUGCGUAUUACAUUAAAUUAUGUAUUUUUCUCAAAUAAUAUUAUUAUCAGAGUAGAUGUCGAUGUAUCAGUAUCGGUGUCCGUGCUUCAUAGCUCAAACCAAUCAAUUACAAACAUAUCCUCAUCAAAAUUAAU
rnacentral:lncRNA from 1 species